UCGAGGAAACAGGUCGGUCAAUUUCGGUCAGAGGCUUGUUGAUCGACAGGUCAAUUGCCUAGGUCCGUAGAAGGAUUGAGUGCCCCAGUUUAUUCUGAAAUACGGGACAUAUCAGAACCCUAUUCGAAGUCGCGGAAACCCUAGAGAGAUCGGCGAAGGAUUCUCACAGCGGCAAUGAGGGCGAAGUGGAAGAAGAAGCGCAUGAGGCGGCUGAAGAGAAAACGUCGAAAGAUGCGGCAGAGAUCCAAAUAGGAUUUUAUAUGAUAUUCCCUUCAAAUGUGGAUGAUAUUAAUAAUCUCUUUUUGUUGGAUCUGUUUCUUUUCUUAACCACUUAGCUUGAUGUUUUGAGAUCUAUGUUAUUGUGUGUUUUUUUUAUUUGUUUUGUUAACUUCAUUAGCUUGUUGAUUUGGCUUCCGAGACACUGCUAUGUGCCAUUUACUGGGUUAUUGAUGGAAAAAUUACUAAGUGAUAAACAAAUUGAUAUGAAA